rnacentral:rRNA from 1 species
GGGCCUAAAGCGUCCGUAGCUGGCCGGCCAAGUCCGUUGGGAAAUCCACCCGCUUAACGGGUGGGCGUCCAGCGGAAACUGUCCGGCUUGGAGCCGGAGGACCUGAGGGGUACGUCCGGGGUAGGAGUGAAAUCCUGUAAUCCUGGACGGACCGCCGGUGGCGAAAGCGCCUCAGGAAGACGGACUCGACAGUGAGGGACGAAAGCUAGGGUCUCGAACC